rnacentral:rRNA from 2 species
AGGUGCGAUCAUAGCAGCACUAAUGCACCGAAUUCCAUCAGAUCUCUGCAGUCAAACGUGCUUGGGCGAGAGUAGUACUAGGAUAGGUGACCUCCUGGAAGUCCUCGUGUUGCACCUC